CCAGUGGCAUAGGAGCUGAGGAGUGUGACAAGCUGGCUGCUGACUGUGCCCACGAGCUGUGGCGCCAUGGGGUCAGCUGUGUGUCUCUGUGGCCGGGGAUUGUGCAGACAGAACUGCUGAAGGAGCAUAUGGCAAAGGAGGAGGUCCUGCAGGAUUCUGUGUUGAAGCAGUUCAAAUCAGCCUUCUCAUCUGCGGAAACCACAGAAUUGAGUGGCAAAUGUGUGGUGGCUUUGGCAACAGAUCCCAAUAUCCUGAGCCUGAGUGGUAAGGUGCUGCCAUCCUGUGACCUUGCUCGACGCUAUGGCCUUCGGGAUGUGGACGGCCGCCCUGUCCAAGACUAUUUGUCUUUGAGCUCUGUUCUCUCACACGUGUCCGGCCUGGGCUGGCUGGCCUCCUACUUGCCCUCCUUCCUCCGUGUGCCCAAGUGGAUUAUUGCCCUCUACACUAGCAAGUUCUAACCCUCCUGGUCUGACACCACGUCUGUUUGUCUUCUCAUUUGGGCUUGGUGGUUUGUCCUAUCUCAAUGAAACAGCAGCCUUUCUUGCUUACCCAUACCCUUGAUAUGAAGAGAAGCCCUCUGCUGUGUGUCCGUGGUGAGUUCUGGGGUGCGCCUAGGUCCUUUCUUUGUGCCUUGGUUUUCCUUGUCCUUCUUUUUACUUUUUGCCUUAGUAUUGAAAAAUGCUCUUGGAGCUAAUAAAAAUCUCAUUUCUCUUUCAA
rnacentral:sRNA from 1 species